rnacentral:rRNA from 1 species
UGGGGAAUUUUGGACAAUGGGCGAAAGCCUGAUCCAGCAAUGCCGCGUGUGUGAAGAAGGCCUUCGGGUUGUAAAGCACUUUUGUCCGGAAAGAAAUCCUUGGCUCUAAUACAGUCGGGGGAUGACGGUACCGGAAGAAUAAGCACCGGCUAACUACGUGCCAGCAGCCGCGGUAAUACGUAGGGUACAAGCGUUAAUCGGAAUUACUGGGCGUAAAGCGUGCGCAGGCGGUUUGCUAAGACCGAUGUGAAAUCCCCGGGCUCAACCUGGGAACUGCAUUGGUGACUGGCAGGCUAGAGUAUGGCAGAGGGGGGUAGAAUUCCACGUGUAGCAGUGAAAUGCGUAGAGAUGUGGAGGAAUACCGAUGGCGAAGGCAGCCCCCUGGGCCAAUACUGACGCUCAUGCACGAAAGCGUGGGGAGCAAACAGGAUUAGAUACCCUGGUAGUCCACGCCCUAAACGAUGUCAACUAGUUGUUGGGGAUUCAUUUCCUUAGUAACGUAGCUAACGCGUGAAGUUGACCGCCUGGGGAGUACGGUCGCAAGAUUAAAACUC